rnacentral:rRNA from 1 species
AUUGAACGCUGGCGGCAGGCCUAACACAUGCAAGUCGAGCGAGCGGCGGACGGGGGAGUAAUGUCUGGGAAACUGCCUGAUGGAGGGGGAUAACUACUGGAAACGGUAGCUAAUACCGCAUACCAUAACAUAUGCACAGGUGGGAUUAGCUAGUAGGUGGGGGAACGGCUCACCUAGGCGAUGAUCCCUAGCUGGUCUGAGAGGAUGUCCAGCCACGCUGGAACUGAGGUACGGUCCAGCCUCCUACGUGAGGCAGCAGUGGGGAAUAUUGCACAGUGGGCGCAAGCCUGAUGCAGCCAUGCGGCGUGUGUGAAGAAGGCCUUCGGGUUGUAGAGCACUUUCAGCGGGGAGGCGUUACCCGCAGAAGAAGCACCGGCUAACUCCGUGCCAGCCGCCGCGGUAAUUC